rnacentral:piRNA from 1 species
UGAGAGAUUUUGUUUUGUUUU